rnacentral:rRNA from 1 species
UACGGGGGGGGCAAGCGUUGUUCGGAAUUACUGGGCGUAAAGGGCGCGUAGGCGGCCCUCUAAGUCAGACGUGAAAUCCCUCGGCUCAACCGGGGAACUGCGUCUGAUACUGGAGGGCUUGAAUCCGGGAGAGGGAUGUGGAAUUCCAGGUGUAGCGGUGAAAUGUGUAGAUAUCUGGAGGAACACCGGUGGCGAAGGCGGCAUCCUGGACCGGUAUUGACGCUGAGGCGCGAAAGCUAGGGGAGCAAACGGG